AAGUAAUGAAGUAAAAUUUACAAUUAGUUUCGACCUAAAAAAAAGGAAUUGUUCCUCUUACUUU
rnacentral:tRNA from 1 species